rnacentral:lncRNA from 1 species
UUACACAUCACCAUUUGCAGCCAUCUGGUGGAAUUGUUGAAUGUUGCCUUGGACCACCUCCAUCUUACAUGUUGAGCCCAAUGGUGCCUUUUGCCCACAAACCACCGUAGAUGGCUCAACAGAAACAACUAAUGAUGGGCCACCAGCCAUCAACACUUUCUCAACAACAAACAUGACCAGUACCUCAACAACUGCAUGAAACUCCUAGUUCGUGUCCUUUAACGAUCCGAGGUUGAAGCAUGGUUGAUAUUGAAUUUCAGGCACUUGGAAUGAUGUAUUUUGGUCACCCUUAUCAGUUAUAGUGAAAAACUUAUUAGUCCAAUCGUUUAUCCAUUCUAGAUAUAGGUUAUUAACCAUACAGGUAUGCAAUUGGAAAUCUG